CAGGUCAGGUUUUCCUCACUUGGCGUGAAUUACAACGCAAGCUUGCGCUCACUAACACUGUCCAAGUUCAGUGUUAGUCCCACAUCGGUGAGCGAAGCAGCGUGCAAAGGAAUGAGGGCCCUAUAAAAACCGAGCACGACCACAGAAAUAACCAUACCUUUCUCGGCCUUUUGGCUAAGAUCAAGUGUAGUAUCUGUUCUUAUCAGUUUAAUAUCUGAUACGUGGGCCAUUGGCUCACAUGAUAUUAAAUUUAUUUUUUUAGGGGCUGGGUCCAUCUCAGUGGCUUGCUGCUGGGGCCCGGAAGCGUCGCCCUUGUCUUGCACUAUUGCAUGGGCCAGGCGCACCCCACCAAGGUAGUUCUAAAUUUUCAAGUUGGCUGCAACUUAAUGAGUUAAAACUUAACUGAGGCAGUUUUUGCUGUUUUCCGUCGUUAAUGUUUGCUCUACGGGUUGAUUUGGAAGGUUUUCCACCACGACAUUGAUGAGUCCUAUUCUCUCACAAUCCCUACAAUGGAACCUCCCAAUCUCACUGCAGCAACAUCAUGGGCGGCAUCUGAGGCCUGGAGACUCCCUCACAACUCGUAUGGGGAAAUCUGAAUCGUGUUGUCGUGGGAAGUGAGCAGCUUCCACCAAUGAAAUGAUGAAAUCUAUUCGAAUCUCUCAGUAUGAUUGGCCGUCCAAUCAUCAAGGAUACAGACUUCAUGAAAGCAUGGCAGUCAUCACAAACACAACAAUCUUUGUAUCUGGAUUAUACCCAAAUUCCCACAAUUUUGCGAUCAGGCCAGUCAGUUCGCUAUAGAUUUUUUCCACCUCUGGAUGAGAUCGAUCUUCAGAAAC